UGGGGAAUAUUGCACAAUGGGCGCAAGCCUGAUGCAGCAACGCCGCGUGAGGGAUGACGGCCUUCGGGUUGUAAACCUCUUUUAGCAGGGAAGAAGCGAAAGUGACGGUACCUGCAGAAAAAGCACCGGCUAACUACGUGCCAGCAGCCGCGGUAAUACGUAGGGUGCAAGCGUUGUCCGGAAUUAUUGGGCGUAAAGAGCUCGUAGGCGGUCUGUCGCGUCUGCUGUGAAAUCCCGAGGCUCAACCUCGGGCCUGCAGUGGGUACGGGCAGACUAGAGUGCGGUAGGGGAGAAUGGAACUCCUGGUGUAGCGGUGGAAUGCGCAGAUAUCAGGAAGAACACCGAUGGCGAAGGCAGUUCUCUGGGCCGUAACUGACGCUGAGGAGCGAAAGCGUGGGGAGCGAACAGGACUAGAUACCCUGGUAGUCCACGCCGUAAACGUUGGGCGCUAGAUGUGGGGACCAUUCCACGGUUUCCGUGUCGCAGCUAACGCAUUAAGCGCCCCGCCUUGGGGAGUACGGCCGCAAGGCUAAAACUCAAAGGAA
rnacentral:rRNA from 1 species